rnacentral:rRNA from 1 species
UAAUUGAAGAGUUUGAUCAUGGCUCAGAUUGAACGCUGGCGGCAGGCCUAACACAUGCAAGUCGAGCGGUAACAGGAGAAAGCUUGCUUUCUUGCUGACGAGCGGCGGACGGGUGAGUAAUGUAUGGGGAUCUGCCCGAUAGAGGGGGAUAACUACUGGAAACGGUGGCUAAUACCGCAUAAUGUCUACGGACCAAAGCAGGGGCUCUUCGGACCUUGCACUAUCGGAUGAACCCAUAUGGGAUUAGCUAGUAGGUGGGGUAAAGGCUCACCUAGGCGACGAUCUCUAGCUGGUCUGAGAGGAUGAUCAGCCACACUGGGACUGAGACACGG